rnacentral:lncRNA from 12 species
UAAGCUGUACUUUGGAUCCAAUUAAGUCACUUUAGAUAAAAGUGUCUGUUAAAUGCAUAUGUGAAACAAAUCAAGACGUUUUAGCUUCAAAACAUUGGUUAAAUAUGAGACUGUAUUCGGUAAUCUUACUCUGGUGAAAAAGUGUUCUGGUGUGAAUCAGGAGAGAAAUCUGCACAGAUCAAGCAGCGUUUAAACAGCUCUAAACAAAUCUGUGGCUGGAUUUUGAUGUGAGAGACAACAGGAGAUGCACUUUUUCACUGGAGGAAGUGUUAUUAUGGAUUAUAGACUCUAUGUAUUUGAGUUAAAAACGUCUUAAUGCUGGAUUUGUUUCAGCUCUUGUCUUCUCCAGAUGUUCACUGCUGGACUGGAGUGCUGUGGAUUACUUGUGGAUUAUUGUGAUGUUUUUAUCAGCUGUUUGGACUCUCAUUCUGACGGCACCCAUCCACUGCAGAGCAUCCAUUGCUGAGACAUUUCUCCAAAUCUGAUGAAGAAACAAACUCAUCUAAACCUCGGAUGUCCUGAGGGUAAGAACAUUUUCAGCACAUUUUCAUUUUUGUGUGAACUGUUCCUUUUAAUAAUUAAUCCUGGCUUAGUUUCAGUUUGAAUUCAGAAGCAUGUCUUAUUGUGCCUGAUACUGAGCAUUUAUGAGCGUUUACUUUUACCAUGCUUUAAAUGCUGUCUGUGAUGAAGUGGAUGCUGGAGAUGCUCUCAUGCAAUUGUCAUAAUAUUGUCACUAACUGAAUACAAAAUCACAGUAUUUAAAAAAAAAAAAAAAAUUCUGCACACAUCAAACUGCCUUGACUCUCUUUGUUUCUCUCUCUUUCAUCAGACUUGUUGAAAAAAAAAAAGAUGGGAAAGAAAAAAACUGUAUUUUUUUCUUCACAUGUGCUUCAGACAAUAGAGACUGAAUCUGAAAUCAGAAUUGCUUUACUUUGCGGCCACAAUUAUAAUUUUUUUAUUAAUAAGCACCGGCUGUGCUUUAAAGACUCGUCUCAUCGGCUUCUUCAAGGUAUUCACAGCGCAAUUACAUCGUCCUGGUAUGUUUUGAGUCUCAUGAUGCCAUAUUGACAGUGGGCGGAGCUGUUAGGAUGCAACACAUGUUCAUAUGUUGAGAAUAGCACACUAUUUAUAGUAUUUCAGUAUAUUGCAUACUGCGUAGAGUAUGUAGUGUACAUUUUUGUAUGCACGGAUGGUAGUCGAGCG